rnacentral:tRNA from 1 species
GGGCCGGUAGCUCAGCCUGGAACUGCGGUGGGCAGUAGAGCACCUGACUUUUAAUCAGGUGGUCGCGGGUUCGAAUCCCGUCCGGCCCA